AGUGAACGCUGGCGGCGUGGAUUAGGCAUGCAAGUCGAACGAUCCCGCAAGGGAUAGUGGCAAAAGGGUGAGUAACACGUGAGCAAUCUGCCUUUGAGUGGGGAACAACCUUGGGAAACCGAGGCUAAAACCGCAUAAGACCACGGCUCGGCAUCGAGCUGAGGUAAAAGACGGGGACCGCAAGGCCUGUCGCUUGAAGAUGAGCUCGCGUCCUAUCAGCUUGUUGGUGAGGUAACGGCCUACCAAGGCGACGAUCAGUAGCUGGUCUGAGAGGACGAUCAGCCACACUGGGACUGAGACACGGCCCAGACUCCUACGGGAGGCAGCAGUGGGGAAUUUUGGACAAUGGGCGAAAGCCUGAUCCAGCAAUGCCGCGUGUGUGAAGAAGGCCUUCGGGUUGUAAAGCACUUUUGUCCGGAAAGAAAUGGCUCUGGUUAAUACCUGGGGUCGAUGACGGUACCGGAAGAAUAAGGACCGGCUAACUACGUGCCAGCCGCCGCCGUAA
rnacentral:rRNA from 1 species